UACCAGCACCCCGAGUGGUCGGGACGAUUAUUGGGCCUAAAGCAUCCGUAGCCGGUUUUACAAGUCCCCCGUUAAAUCCAACUGCUUAACAGAUGGGCCGCGGAGGAUACUAUAAGACUAGGAGGCAGGAGAGGCAAGCGGUACUCAGUGGGUAGGGGUAAAAUCCGUUGAUCCAUUGAAGACCACCAGUGGCGAAGGCGGCUUGCCAGAAUGUGCUCGACGGUGAGGGAUGAAAGCUGGGGGAGCAAACCGG
rnacentral:rRNA from 1 species